UAGUUCAUCCUUUCAUCCUCCCAAACUCCCUUUCAGCUAAUGUGUACUGCAGUUAAACUACUUUAUCUGUGGUCGUUAUCUAGAACACACGCGUUUGUCUUAAUUCUGAAUCUGUCCCAAAUAUGUAAAUGAGAGUUCCCCCCCCCCAAACGCAAAAUGUAUAUAUCUAUACAUACGGACUUGGCAGUCCCAUACACCACUGAAGGGUUAAGAUUGUACAAAGGAAGAGUUCUUGCGCCAUCUACUGGCCAUCUCCGAGCCACCCGUUUCUCCUUCACUCUACCAGGGACCCUGUUUUCUCUUAUCCCAUGUCGUGCAGGAGCUGCGUCCCUGAGCCCAGCGUGUUUUGCUCCUGUAUGCCAGAUUCCUAAUAUAUAUAUGUAUAUAUUUGGUACAGUCCUGGCCCAAAUCUUUCGACGAGAAUGUUCCUUAGACCAGGCGCCGGAUUGAUGAUCUGACCUUUCGGGAAUCUGGUCCCAUCUCAGGAGUGGGGAGGGCUGCAGUGCUGUUUUGGAAUAGGUAAUUGCUGCUGCCCGUGGUCCUUCUCGCAUGCCGGAGUCUAUCAGGGGAUGAGCGUCUUUGUACAGGAUUUAGUCAAAAAACUACCCAAUUUGAGUUUUCAGCUCCUUGUCUUGCCCACAAAUCAUGGAUCCUGUCCCGUAAACCACACAAUCACCCUGGCCAGCUUUUGUUCCUGGGCUCCAAUUGGAGCUGCGGGCUCAAUGGACCAAGGUGGUUGCCUCUGGCUGGAGUUCUGCUCUGGGAAGUGGGCACUGUGAGAGCAACCUUAGGCGUGAGUGGCGAGUAGGUUCAAUCUACCAGAAGGAUUCUGAGCUCUCUGGGAUAAAUUUACUGUCUUAAAUCUCAUCGUUAAGACCCUUCAAGGAUAUUCCUCCAUCUGUGACUGUGAAUUUUGCUGUUAAGACUUGCAUUGCUACCUUCUUGAGACCACUGUCCUUGGACAUCUCUAUGGAAAAACUGAAGUACCUGGGAGUUUUUGUCCUGAAGAUGGGCCAUUGCCAAUGCUGGAAGCCCAGUCCCUUUGUCUCCAGAUGAACAAACUUUGAUGAGUAAUUCAUAUUACAGUGUUUCUACAGAGAUUAUGCUGGAUCUUAGAUUUUGCCUCAAAUUAUACCUUUUUUUAGCUUUUUUCCUUACCUUACUAUGUAUAGUAUGCUGAACUACAUUGGAACCUGGAGCAAAAGGAAAAUUGUGUAACCAUACAUACAUUUGUCAAAUUAUUCUCCUGUAUUUUAAACCAAGUAGAAAAAGCUAAUGUAAACAUUAUAAUAAACAACUGCAACAUAAAA